CUAAGCCAUGCGAGUCGAGAGGUGCAAGACCUCGGCUGACGGCUCAGUAACACGCGGAUAAUCUGCCCUCGAGCGGGGGAUAAUCUCGGGAAACUGAGAAUAAUACCCCAUAGGCCCGGGAAGCUGGAAUGCUCCCAGGCUGAAAUUUCCGGAGCUCGAGGAUGAGUCUGCGGCCUAUCAGGCUGUAGUGGGUGUAACGGACCCACUAACCUUCGACGGGUACGGGCCUUGAGAGAGGUUGCCCGGAGAUGGAUUCUGAGACACGAAUCCAGGUCCUACGGGGCGCAGCAGGCGCGAAAACUUCGCAAUGUGGGAAACCACGACGAGGGAAUCCCAAGUGCCAACGAUUUUUCGUUGGCUGUUGCCCUGUCUAAAAAACAGGGAGAGUAAGGGCUGGGUAAGACGGGUGCCAGCCGCCGCGGUAAUACCCGCGGCCCAAGUGGUGCUCGUUAUUAUUGGGUUUAAAACGUCCGUAGCCGGUCCGGUAAAUUCUUGGGUAAAUCGACUGGCCUAACCAGUCGAAUUCCGGGGAGACUGCCGGACUCGGGACCGGGGGAGGUCGGAGGUACUUCCAGGGUAGGGGUGAAAUCCUGUAAUCCUGGGGGGACCACCAGUGGCAAAGGCGUCCGACCAGAACGAGUCCGACGGUAAGGGACGAAGCCCUGGGGCGCAAACCGGAUUAGAUACCCGGGUAGUCCAGGGUGUAAACGCUGUGCGCUUGGUGUUGGGGGUCCUACGAGGGCACCCAGUGCCGGAGAGAAGUUGUUAAGCGCACCGCCUGGGGAGUACGGUCGCAAGACUGAAACUUAAAGGAAUUGGCGGGGGAGCACCGCAACGGGAGGAGCGUGCGGUUUAAUUGGAUUCAACGCCGAAAAACUCACCAGGGGCGACUGCCAUAUGAAGGCCAAGCUGAUGACCUUGCCUGAUUGGUAGAGAGGUGGUGCAUGGCCA
rnacentral:rRNA from 1 species